AUUAAUCCUACAUGGUAUCCUACUUAACCCAACAAAGUCUACACUUACCAAAUCAUCAAGAGCAAGCUAAGUCAACAAAGGUCAAGCAACCUACCAUGGUCAACAAUUAAACAGAGGUAAAAGAUAAGAAGACAAUGUUAAAGGGGUAGUGUCACGCCCAAUAUGCGACCCUAUCCAAAAGGAACUCGAAGGUACCACCAAGGAUAGACCCGCAUAUUGAAACGCUUUUGCAAGGUGGAUAUCAUUACAUCAACAUUACAUAAUAGAUGGGGAUACAUACAUAAGGCAUACAGUGCCACACGAAUACAACAUCAUCUUACAGAAGAGCACCAUCCGACUACGGAUGAAACACAAACAGAAACUCAACGACAUCCACCCUGCUAGCCCAGGCUGCCGACCUGGAACCUAUCCCUGAUCGAAGAAGAAGCAGAAGAAGCACUCCAAAACAAGCAAACAUCGCUCUCGCCUCAUGAUCAUCGCAAAACCUGUACCUGCAACUGUUGUUGUAGUAAUCUGUGAGCCACGAGGACUCAGCAAUCCCAUUACCAUGGGUAUCAAGACUAGCAAAGCUUAAUGGGAAUGAAAGGGGGGUACAGUGGUGAGGCUACAGCAACGACUAAGCAUGAUAUGGUGGCUAACAUACACAAAUAAGAGCGAGAAGAGAGCAAACAGAAUGGUCGUGAAGCUAGCAAUGAUCAAGAAGUGAUCCUGAACUCCUACUUACGUCAAACAUAACCCAAAACCGUGUUCACUUCCCGGACUCCGCCGAAAAGAGACCAUCACGGCUACACACGCGGUUGAUGCGUUUUAAUCGGAUCUGGUGUCAAGUUAUCUACAACCGGACAUUAACAAAUUCCCAUCUGCCUAUAACCGCAGGCACGGCUUUCGAAAGAUUACCCUGCAGGGGUGUCCCAACUUAGCCCAUGAUAAGCUCUCGCGAUCAACGAAGGAUAUACCUUCUCCCAGGAAGACCCGAUCAGACUCGGAAUCCCGGUUUACAAGACAUUUCGACAAUGGUAAAACAAGACCAGCAAAGCCUCCCGCUGUGCCGACAAAUCCCGAUAGGAGCUGCACAUAUCUCGUUCUCAGGGCACACCGGAUGAGCCAGACGUCGGGUUGGCAUAGACCUUGGUUGCCCAGGGGGCGCCGGACAUCGCUCGGUUUGGACCAACACUUAGACAAGCAUUGGCCCAGGGGGGCUAAAAUAAAGAUGACCCUCGGGUUAAUUACUCCCAAGGGAAAUGUAGGUGGUGGUGAGGCAAAUGGUAAAACCAAUGUUGGGCCUUGCUGGAUGUAACGCCCCGGAUUCGAUGCGCCAGGUGUCUGCCAGUUAUUCGCCGUAGUUGCCAUAUCAUUUGCUUGCGUGUUGCAUAUUGUCAUGUCAUCAUGUGCAUUUCAUUUUGCAUACGUGUUUGUUUCAUGCAUCCGAGCUUUUUCCCUGUUGUCCGUUUUGCAAUCCGGCACUCCUAUGCCCUCCGGCGUUCCCCUUUUGUCUCUCGUUGUGAGCGGGUGUUAGACUUUCUCGGAAUGGACCGAGUCUUGCCAAGCGGCCUUAGUAUAGCACCGGUAGACCGCCUGUCAAGUUUCGUGCCAUUUGGAGGUCGUUUGAUACUCCAACGGUUAUCCGCGUAGCCCGAAACCCCCCUUUCUCCUUGCAGCCCAACACCCCUCCAAAGUGGCCCAAAACCCAGCAAACUCCCCUCCAUGCUCUCGGUCGUUCGAUCACGAUCGCAUGGACGAAAACCGCUCCUCAUUUGGACUCUCCUAGCUCCCAGAAUCUAUAUAUAUGUGCCUCCCGUCCAAAUUCGCGGAUGUUUUUCCCCCGAAAACCUAAAAAUUCCCCUCUCCGCGCCGGACGUGUCCGUCCGCGCCGGACAAAGCCCGUGCCGCUGCCUCCUCACCAACCGGCAUCCGCCGCGUGGCAGCCGCCGCNNNNNNNNNNNNNNNNNNNNNNNNNNNNNNNNNNNNNNNNNNNNNNNNNNNNNNNNNNNNNNNNNNNNNNNNNNNNNNNNNNNNNNNNNNNNNNNNNNNNNNNNNNNNNNNNNNNNNNNNNNNNNNNNNNNNNNNNNNNNNNNNNNNNNNNNNNNNNNNNNNNNNNNNNNNNNNNNNNNNNNNNNNNNNNNNNNNNNNNNNNNNNNNNNNNNNNNNNNNNNNNNNNNNNNNNNNNNNNNNNNNNNNNNNNNNNNNNNNNNNNNNNNNNNNNNNNNNNNNNNNNNNNNNNNNNNNNNNNNNNNNNNNNNNNNNNNNNNNNNNNNNNNNNNNNNNNNNNNNNNNNNNNNNNNNNNNNNNNNNNNNNNNNNNNNNNNNNNNNNNNNNNNNNNNNNNNNNNNNNNNNNNNNNNNNNNNNNNNNNNNNNNNNNNNNNNNNNNNNNNNNNNNNNNNNNNNNNNNNNNNNNNNNNNNNNNNNNNNNNNNNNNNNNNNNNNNNNGUGCCCCGCCGCCGCGCCCCGCCGGCUCCUCCGGCCCUCCUCGCCGACCGUCUCCGGCGCCCCUUCUCCGCCCCUGGCCCGAGCUCGAGGACGACCCCGUGGGGCCCGCUCGUCAGCCUCCCAUGCCGGACGUGUCCGGUUUGGCCCGGACAUGUCCACCCCCUGCGAGGUCGUUUUCCACUAAGUCCCCGAAGUAUAUGUGUGACAUUAUCAUGCCAUGUUCAUCGCAUCAUAUCUCUGCAUCCGUAGCACCGUUUUGUGCGUGUAAUAAGUAAAAUUGUUCGCCUCAAUGAGUACUUCAUUUCAUUCCAUUGCAUCAUAUUCAUUUGAGCUCAUCUUGAUGCCUGAAUCUUCGUUGCAAGAGUGCUUCAUAAUGUUGUCUGCUGUCUGUUAACAGAACUAGCUCUUUUGUCAUUUUUUCCAUGAUUGAUGUGUGCAUCCUAUGAGGUUGAUGGCUACAUGUGUUUUGAUCUAUGCUAUGUCUUCUUUACAGAGGUGCUUACCAUGUAUUUUUGUGAUCAAUGUGGUGACUAGCACAAGCAUGCAAACUAGGCCUCGUGAUGUUGCUGAUUUUAGUCCCUGUUCUGCUGUUAUUUUGAUGCCAUUUAAACUUGAUGCUACAGAGAGAUCCAUGCUUAUUUUGAGAUACUUCAGUAAGGGUGUUUUGAACAUAUGGUUUUUAUAUAUCCAUUCAUGCCUGAAAUUAUGGAGUAGUCUAGCAUGUCAUUUUCGUGCUCUACUUUUGCUACAAAAUGUUUCCUGGCAGAUUGUUUACAUGUUAUUCAAUUUUGCCAAGGUUGUUGUAGUUGAUCCUUGCAUGCCAUGAACUUGUUCUUGACUUGGUUUGUUUUAUAAACAUGCCUUCUUGAUGAUGCUAUGAUUAUAUUGUCAUGCAAUGACUUGUGGUGAGUGAAUCGAGCUUGUUAAGUAGUGUACUUGCUAUUGCUGUUUUGCUAGGCUGAAUCUGUUAUUUCGUGAUGCUAUGUAAACCUGCUGCUACAAGUCAUUCUAUGCAUAAUCUGGAGAUGUUCACUAAGGGUGUUUUGUUACAAAUGUUAUGCUCUAUCCAUACAUGUCCCUGUUUGCAAUUAUAGCUUGCUGUAGUUUGUUGUAAUCUUGCUCUAAAGUUGCUAUAUAAUGUUGCUGUCAGCCUGUUAACUUGAAGUUCAGUCGUUGCCAUGCUUUUUGUUAGUGAUACAUGUACCCUAUGACCUUGCUAUUGACAUGCUUAGCUUCAUAAAUAUGUAUUAUUACUGUUGGUAGCCUUUCCAUGCCAUGUAUUGCUCUGUGAUGAGUGGUACAAGCUCACAAACAUGCCUUCAUAAUUCUGUUUCUGUCAUGUUUGAAUCUGUAAUAUAACUUGCUAUGUUUACAUGGGUGCCAUCAUAUUUUCUGUUCCUUUUUGGCUCAUGGUCAGUAAGGGGCUUUUGUUCUAUGCAUUUAGUAGUACCAUGCCAUGCUUUUGUUUGCCAUGAUAAGUUCCUGCAACAUGUUGUUUGAUAGCUCUAAACAUUGCAGCCUGAUGUUAUUUUCUGCAAAGUCUGAACUGUUAUUAUUUGCAAUCUUGCCAUAUGUGUUUGAGCAUGUUCUAGUGAUUUCUGGAGAUAGCUCAGUGUUCAUGUUUUGUCAUGCUUUACCUGUACAUCAUGACCAUGUCUUUUUUUUCAUGUUGGGAUACUGUAGCAUAUUGUUUUGAUGCUUGCAAUAUGCCUAGUUGCUGUUUUGAACAGAUUGUUGCUAUAACUUUUAUAGUGUGUGUGUUGAACCGUUGCUCCGUUUUGAGUGUGCUGUAUAUGAAACUUGCUUGUUUUUGCAUGCAGUUCCAUAUUAUCAUGUUGCAUCCAUGCUUUUGUUUGCCAUGAUAAGUUCCUGCAACAUGUUGUUUGAUAGCUCUAAACAUUGCAGCCUGAUGUUAUUUUCUGCAAAGUCUGAACUGUUAUUAUUUGCAAUCUUGCCAUAUGUGUUUGAGCAUGUUCUAGUGAUUUCUGUGUUGGGGAACGUAGCAGAAAUUCAAAAUUUUCCUACGUGUCACCAAGAUCUAUCUAUGGAGAGACCAACAACGAGUAGAAAGAGAGUGCAUCUACAUACCCUUGUAGAUCACUAAGCGGAAGCGUUCAAGUGAACGGGGUUGAUGGAGUCGUACUCGUCGUGAUUCAAAUCACCGAUGAUCCUAGUGCCGAACGGACGGCACCUCCGCGUUCAACACACGUACAGCCCGGUGACGUCUCCCAUGCCUUGAUCCAGCAAGGAGAGAGGGAGAGGUUGAGGAAGACUCCAUCCAACAGCAGCACAACGGUGUGGUGGUGGUGGAGGAGCGUGGCAAUCCAGCAGGGCUUCGCCAAGCACCAUGGGAGAGGAGGAGUAGGAAGAGAGGUAGGGCUGUGCCAGAACUUCGUGUAUAGCUCCCAUGCGCCUCCCCACUAUAUAUAGGGGUGGAGGGGCUGGUUUCUUGCCCUCCAAGUCCAUUGGGGCGUUGGCCAAGGUGGGAGGAAAGAAAUCUCAUUAUUUCCUUCCCCACCGAUUGUUAUCCCCCCUUUUUAGGGAUCUUGAUCUUAUCCCUUCGGGAUAUGAUCUUAUUCCUUCUAAGGGGGGAUCUUGGUGCGCCUUGACCAGGGGUGUGGGGCCUUGCCCCCACUACCCACGUCCAUGUGGGUCCCCCAUGCAGGUGGGCCCCACUCCGGAACCUUCUAGAACCUUCCCGGUACAAUACCGAAAAAUCCCGAACAUUUUCCGGUGGCCAAAAUAGGACUUCCCAUAUAUAAAUCUUUACCUCCGGACCAUUCCGGAACUCCUCAUGAUGUUCGGGAUCUCAUCCGGGACUCCGAACAACAUUCGGUAACCACAUACAAACUUCCUUUAUAACCCUAGCGUCAUCGAACCUUAAGUGUGUAGACCCUACGGGUUCGGGAGACAUGUAGACAUGACCGAGACGUUCUCCGGUCAAUAACCAACAGCGGGAUCUGGAUACCCAUGAUGGCUCCCACAUGUUCCACGAUGAUCUCAUCAGAUGAACCACGAUGUCAAGGACUUAAUCAAUCCCGUAUUCAAUUCCCUUUGUCUAUCGGUAUGUUACUUGCCCGAGAUUCGAUCGUCGGUAUCCAAUACAUUGUUCAAUCUCGUUACCGGCAAGUCACUUUACUCGUUCCGUAACACAUCAUCCCGUGAUCAACUCCUUGGUCAUAUUGCGCAUAUGAUGAUGUCCUACCGAGUGGGCCCAGAGAUACCUUUGUGCUAGUCUUAGGAUUGGGUCUUGUCCAUCACAUCAUUCUCCUAAUGAUGUGAUCCCGUUAUCAACGACAUCCAAUGUCCAUAGCCAGGAAACCAUGACUAUCUGUUGAUCACAACGAGCUAGUCAAGUAGAGGCUCACUAGGGACAUAUUCUGGUCUAUGUAUUCACACGUGUAUUACGAUUUCCGGAUAAUACAGUUAUAGCAUGAAUAAAAGACAAUUAUCAUGAACAAGGAAAUAUAAUAAUAAUACUUUUAUUAUUGCCUCUAGGGCAUAUUUCCAACAGUCUCCCACUUGCACUAGAGUCAAUAAUCUAGUUCACAUCGCCAUGUGAUUAACACUCACAGGUCACAUCGCCAUGUGACUAAUACCCAAGAGUUUACUAGAGUCAGUAGUCUAGUUCACAUCACUAUGUGAUUAACACUCAAUGAGUUUUAUGUUUGAUCAUGUUGCUUGUGAGAGAGAUUUUAGUCAACGGGUCUGAACCUUUCAGAUCCGUGUGUGCUUUACAAAUCUCUAUGUCAUCUCCUAGAUGCAGCUACCACGCUUUAUUUGGAGCUAUUCCAAACAACUGUUCUACUUGGAGCUAUUCUAAAUUAUUGCUCCAUUAUAUGUAUCUGGUCUCUCUACUUAGAGCUAUCCGGAUAGGUGUCAAGCUUACAUCGUCGUAACCUUUACGACGAACUCUUUUACCACCUCCAUAAUCGAGAAAAUUCCUUAGUCCACUAGUUACUAAGGAUAACUUUGACCGCUGUCCUGUGAGCCAUUCUUGGAUCACUCCUGUACCCCUUGACUGACUCAUGGCAAGGCACACUUCAGGUGCGGUACACAGCAUAGCAUACUGAAGAGCCUACGUCUUAAGCAUAGGGGACGACCUUCGUCCUUUCUCUCUAUUCUGCCGUGGUCGAGCUUUAAGUCUUAACUUCGUACCUUACAACUCAGGCAAGAACUCCUUCUUUGACUGGUCCAUCUUGAACACCUUCAAGAUCAUGUCAAGGUAUGUGCUCAUUUGAAAGUAUUAUUAAGCAUUUUGAUCUAUCCUUAUAGAUCUUGAUGCUCAAUGUUCAAGUAGCUUAAUCCAGGCUUUCCAUUGAAAAACACAUUCAAAAUAACCCUAUAUGCUUUCCAGAAAUUCUACGUCAUUUCUGAUCAACAAUAUGUCAACAACAUAUACUCAUCAGAAAUUCUAUAGUGCUCCCACUCACUUCUUUGGAAAUACAAGUUUCUCAUAAACUUUGUACAAACCCAAAAUUUUUGAUCAUCAUCAAAGCAUACAUUCCAACUCCGAGAUGCUCACUCCAGUCCUUAGAAGGAUUGCUGGAGCUUUGCAUACUUAUUAGCAUCUUUCGGGAUUGACAAAACCUUCCGGUUGUAUCACAUACAACCUUUCCUCAUUAAAAUCGUCGAGGAAACAAUGUUUUGACAUCCUAUCUGCAAGAUUUCAUAAAUAAUGCAGUAAUCGCUAAUAUAAUUCCAACAGACUCUUAGCAUCGCUACGAGUGAGAAAAUCUCAUCGUAGUCAACUCCUUGAACUUGUCGGAAAACAUCUUAACGACAAGUCGAGCUUUCUUAAUGGUGACAUUUACCAUUAUUGUCCGUCUUCCUUUUGAAAUCCAUCUGUACUCAUUAGCCUUACGACCAUCGAGCCGUUCUGCCAAAGUCUACACUUUGUUUUCAUACAUGGAUCCUCUCUCGGAUUUUAUGGCCUCAAGCCAUUUAUCGGAAUCCGGGUCCACCAUCGCUUCUCCAUAGCUCGUAGGUUCAUUGUUGUCUAGCAACAUGACCUUCAAGACAGGAUUACGUACCACUCUGAAGUAGUACGCAUCCUUGUCAUCCUACGAGGUUUGGGAGUGACUUGAUCCGAAGUUUCAUGAUUAAUAUCAUAAGCUUCCACUUCAAUUGGUGUAGGUGCCACAGGAACAACUCCCUGUGCCCUGUCACACACUAGUUGAAGAGACGGUUCAAUAACCUCAUCAAGUCUCCACCAUCCUCCCACUCAAUUCUUUCGAGAGAAACUUUUCCUCGAGAAAGGACCCGAUUCUAGAAACAAUCCAUAUUGCUUUCGGAUCUGAAUUAGGAGGUAUACCCAACUGUUUUGGGUUUCCUAUGAAGAUGCAUUUUAUCCGCUUUGGGUUCGAGCUUAUCAACCUGAAACUUUUUCAUAUAAGCGUCGGAGCCCCAAACUUUUAAGAAACGACAACUUAGGUUUCUCUAAACCAUAAUUCAUACGGUGUCAUCUCAUCGGAAUUACGUGGUGCCCUAUUUAAAGUGAAUGUGGUUGUCUCUAAUGCCUAACCCAUGAACGAUAGUGGUAAUUCGAUAAGAGACAUCAUGGUACGCACCAUAUCCAAUAGGGUGCAACUAUGAUGUUCAGACACACCAUCACAUUAUGGUGUUCCAGGCGGUAUUAAUUGCGAAACAAUUUCCACAAUGUCUUAAUUGUGUGCCAAAACUCGUAACUCAGAUAUUCAUCUCUAUGAUCAUAUCAUAGACAUUUUAUCCUCUUGUCACAAUGAUCUGCUACUUCACUCUGAAAUUACUUGAACCAUUCAAUAAUUCAGACUUGUGUCUCAUCAAGUAAAUAUACUCAACAUUUACUCGAAUCAUCUGUGAAGUAAGAACAUAAUGAUAUUCACUGCAUGCCUCAGCACUCAUUCGACUGCACACAUCAAAAUGUGUUACUUCCAACAAGUUGCUAUCUUGUUCCAUCUUACUGAAAAUGAGGCUUUUCAGUCAUCUUGCCCAUGUGGUAUGAUUUGCAUAUCUCAAGUGAUUCAAAAUCAAGUGAGUCCGAAUGAUCCAUUUGCAUGGAGUUUCUUCAUGCAUAUACACCAAUAGACAUGGUUCGCAUGUCUCAAACUUUUCAAAAACGAGUGAGUCCAAAGAUCCAUCAACAUGGAGCUUCUUCAUGCGUUUUAUACCAUUAUGACUUACAUGGCAGUGCCACAAGUAAGUGGUACUAUCAAUACUAUCUUAUAUCUUUUGGCAUGAAAAUGUGUAUCACUACGACCGAGAUUCAAUAAACCAUUCCUUUAGGUGCAAGACCAUUGAAGGUAUUAUUCAAAAAUAGAGUAACCAUUAUUCUCCUUAAAUGAAUAACUGUAUUGCGAUAGACAUAAUCCAAUCAUGUCUAUGCUCAACGCAAACACCAAUCUCGGUGGUAGAGGGAGCGUGCGAUGCUUGAUCAUAUCAACCUUGGAAACACUUCCAACAUAUAUCGUCAGCUCACCUUUAGCUAGUCUCCGUUUAUUCCGUAGCUUUUAUUUCGAGUUACUAACACUUAGCAACCGAACCGGUAUCCAAUACCCUGGUGCUACUAGGAGUACUAGUAAAGUACACAUUAACAUAAUGUAUAUCCAAUAUACUUCUAUCGACCUUGCCAGCCUUCUCAUCUACCAAGUAUCUAGGGUAAUGCUGCUCCAGUGGUUGUUCCCCUUAUUACAGAAGCACUUAGUCUCGGGUUUGGGUUCAACCUUGGGUUUCUUCACUAGAGCAGCAACUGAAUUGCCGUUUCAUGAAGUAUCCCUUUGUUCCCUUGCCCUUCUUGAAACUAGUGGUUUCACCAACCAUCAACAAUUGAUGCUCCUUCUUGAUUUCUACUUUCGCGGUGUCAAACAUCAUGAAUAUUUCAAGGAUCAUCAUAUCUAUCCCUGAUAUGUUAUAGUUAAUCACGAAGCUCUAGCAGCUUGGUGGCAAUGACUUUGGGGAAACAUCACUAUCUCAUCUGGAGGAUCAACUCCCACUCGAUUCAAGUGAUUGUUGUGCUCAGACAAUCUGAGCACAAGAUCAACGAUUGAGCUUUUCUCCCUUGGUUUGCAGGCUAAGAAAAUCGUCGGAGGUCUUAUACCUCUUGACGUGGGCACAAGCCUGAAAUCCCAAUUUCAGCCCUCGAAACAUCUCAUAUGUUCCGCGACGUUUCGAAAACGUCUUUGGUGCCUCUACUUAAACCAUUUAAUUGAACUAUCACGUAGUUAUCAAAACGUGUAUGUCCGAUGUUCGCAACAUCGACAAACGACGUUGGGGUUCAGCACACUGAGCGGUGCAUUAAGGACAUAAGCUUUCUACUGAUCGCAUAAUCGCUACUAUCAACUUUCAACUAUAUUUUCUCUAGGAACAUAUCUAAACAGUGGAACUAAAGCGCGAGCUUACGACAUAAUUUGCAAAAGGUCUUUUGACUAUGUUCAGGAUAAUUAAGUUCAUCUUAUGAACUCCCACUUAGAUAGACAUCCCUCUGGUCAUCUAAGUGAUCACAUGAUCCGAGUCAACUAGGCCGUGUCCGAUCAUCACGUGAGACGGACUAGUCAUCAUCGGUGAACAUCUUCAUGUUGAUCGUAUCUACUAUACGACUCAUGCUCGACCUUUCAGUCUCCGUGUUCCGAGGCCAUGUCUGUACAUGCUAGGCUCGUCAAGUUAACCCUAAGUGUUUUCGCUGUGUAAAACUGUCUUACACCCGUUGUAUGUGAACGUAAGAAUCCAUCACACCCGAUCAUCACGUGGUGCUUAGAAGCGACGAACUGUAGCAACGGUGCACAGUUAGGGGAGAACACUUCUUGAAAUUGUUGUAAGGGAUCAUCUUAUUUACUACCGUCGUUCUAAGAAAACAAGAUGCAUAAACAUGAUAAACAUCACAUGCAAUCAAAUAGAGUAGUGACAUGAUAUGGCCAAUAUCAUAUAGCUCCUUUGAUCUUCAUCUUCGGGGCUCCAUGAUCAUCUUGUCACCGGCAUGACACCAUGAUCUCCAUCAUCAUGAUCUCCAUCAUCGUGUCUUCAUGAAGUUGUCACGCCAACGACUACUUUUACUUCUAUGACUAACGCGUUUAGCAAUAAAGUAAAGUAGUUUACAUGGCAUUCUUCAAUGACACGCAGGUCAUACAAUAAAUAAAGACAACUCCUAUGGCUCCUGCCGGUUGUCAUACUCAUCGACAUGCAAGUCGUGAAUCCUAUUACAAGAACAUGAUCAAUCUCAUACAUCACAUAUAUCAUUCAUCACAUCCUUUUGGCCAUAUCACAUCACAUAGCAUACCCUGCAAAAACAAGUUAGACGUCCUCUAAUUGUUGUUUGCAUGUUUUACGUGGCUGCUAUGGGUUUCUAGCAAGAACGUUUCUUACCUACGCAAAACCACAACGUGAUAUGCCAAUUGCUAUUUACCCUUCAUAAGGACCCUUUUCAUCGAAUCCGUUCCAACUAAAGUGGGAGAGACUGGCACCCGCUAGCCACCUUAUGCACCAAGUGCAUGUCAAUCGGUGGAACCUGUCUCACGUAAGAGUACGUGUAAGGUCGGUCCGGGCCGCUUCAUCCCACAAUACCAUCGAAACAAGAUUGGACUAGUAACGGUAAGCAUAUUGAACAACAUCAACGCCCACAACUACUUUGUGUUCUACUCGUGCAAAGAAUCUACGCAAUAGACCUAGCUCAUGAUGCCACUGUUGGGGAACGUAGCAGAAAUUCAAAAUUUUCCUACGUGUCACCAAGAUCUAUCUAUGGAGAGACCAGCAACGAGUAGAAAGAGAGUGCAUCUACAUACCCUUGUAGAUCGCUAAGCGGAAGCGUUCAAGUGAACGGGGUUGAUGGAGUCGUACUCGUCAUGAUUCAAAUCACCGAUGAUCCUAGUGCCGAACGGACGGCACCUCCGCGUUCAACACACGUACAACCCGGUGACGUCUCCCAUGCCUUGAUCCAGCAAGGAGAGAGGGAGAGGUUGAGGAAGACUCCAUCCAACAGCAGCACAACGACGUGGUGGUGGUGGAGGAGCGUGGCAAUCCAGCAGGGCUUCGCCAAGCACCAUGGGAGAGGAGGAGUAGGAAGAGAGGUAGGGCUGUGCCAGAACUUCGUGUAUAGCUCCCAUGCGCCUCCCCACUAUAUAUAGGGGUGGAGGGGCUGGUUUCUUGCCCUCCAAGUCCAUUGAGGCGUUGGCCAAGGUGGGAGGAAAGAAAUCUCAUUAUUUCCUUCCCCACCGAUUGUUAUCCCCCCUUUUUAGGGAUCUUGAUCUUAUCCCUUCGGGAUAUGAUCUUAUUCCUUCUAAGGGGGGAUCUUGGUGCGCCUUGACCAGGGGUGUGGGGCCUUGCUCCCACUACCCACGUCCAUGUGGGUCCCCCCAUGCAGGUGGGCCCCACUCCGGAACCUUCUAGAACCUUCCCGGUACAAUACCGAAAAAUCCCGAACAUUUUCCGGUGGCCAAAAUAGGACUUCCAUAUAUAAAUCUUUACCUCCGGACCAUUCCGGAACUCCUCGUGACGUCCGGGAUCUCAUCCGGGACUCCGAACAACAUUCGGUAACCACAUACAAACUUCCUUUAUAACCCUAGCGUCAUCGAACCUUAAGUGUGUAGACCCUACGGGUUCGGGAGACAUGUAGACAUGACCGAGACGUUCUCCGGUCAAUAACCAACAGCGGGAUCUGGAUACCCAUGAUGGCUCCCACAUGUUCCACGAUGAUCUCAUCGGAUGAACCACGAUGUCAAGGACUUAAUCAAUCCCGUAUUCAAUUCCCUUUGUCUAUCGGUAUGUUACUUGCCCGAGAUUCGAUCAUCGGUAUCCAAUACCUUGUUCAAUCUCGUUACCGGCAAGUCACUUUACUCGUUCCGUAACACAUCAUCCCGUGAUCAACUCCUUGGUCAUAUUGCGCAUAUGAUGAUGUCCUACCGAGUGGGCCCAGAGAUACCUCUCCGUUUACACGGAGUGACAAAUCCCAGUCUCGAUCCGCAUAAAACAAUAGAUACUUUCGGAGAUACCUGUAGUGCACCUUUAUAGUCACCCAGUUACGUUGUGACGUUUGAUACACCCAAAGCACUCCUACGGUAUCCAGGAGUUACACGCUCUCAUGGUCGAAGGAAGAGAUACUUGACAUUGGCAAAGCUCUAGCAAAUGAACUACACGAUCUUUUGUGCUAGUCUUAGGAUUGGGUCUUGUCCAUCACAUCAUUCUCCUAAUGAUGUGAUCCCGUUAUCAACGACAUCCAAUGUCCAUAGCCAGGAAACCAUGACUAUCUGUUGAUCACAACGAGCUAGUCAAGUAGAGGCUCACUAGGGACAUAUUGUGGUCUAUGUAUUCACACGUGUAUUACGAUUUCCGGAUAAUACAGUUAUAGCAUGAAUAAAAGACAAUUAUCAUGAACAAGGAAAUAUAAUAAUAAUACUUUUAUUAUUGCCUCUAGGGCAUAUUUCCAACAUUCUGGAGAUAGCUCAGUGUUCAUGUUUUGUCAUGCUUUACCUGUACAUCAUGCCCAUGUCUUUUUUUUCAUGUUGGGAUACUGUAGCUUAUUGUUUUGAUGCUUGCAAUAUGCCUAGUUGCUGUUUUGGACAGAUUGUUGCUAUAACUUGUAUAGAGUGUGUGUGUUGAACCGUUGCUCCGUUUUGAGUGUGCUGUAUAUGAAACUUGCUUGUUUUUGCAUGUAGUUCCAUAUUAUCAUGUUGCAUCCAGGUUUUUGGAGUGUUUGCUUGAUGUUUAUAUGCAUUUUGCAUCAAUGCCAUGUUUAACUUGUUUUGCUCAUAUCUUCUAGGCCGUAGCCCAGAACUAAAUGAACUUUAUAUGUAACUUGACUAGAAUUUCGUGUAGAUCAUCUUUGUGCAUCUUAACUUGCUGUUUAACAACUUGAACAUAAUGUUUAUUCAGAUCUGGACCAAUCUAGAAAUAUGCAUAUGAGGACUUACCGGAAUUGUUAUAUGUUGUUCCCGGCCUCAUUUAAACUUGCCUUAGUGUGUUGCUCUUGUUUGCAUCAUCUCUUGCCAUGAGUAGCUUCAUGUAGCUUUGCCAUGCAUAAUGCUUGUUUGUGCAUCAUGUCUUGUUCAUGUGUGGUGUGUUUACCAUGUUGUGUGCUUCUUUUUGAUAGUUCCCCUUUUUGUUGCGAUCGUGAGGAUUCGUUCGUCUACGCUUGGUUCGGCUUCAUCCGUUCGUCUUCUUCAUGGACUCGUUCUUCUUCCUAGCGGGAUUUCAGGCAAGAUGACCGCUACCCUGGAUCUCACUACUAUCAUUGCUAUGCUAGUUGCUUCGUUCUAUCGCUAUGAUGCGUUACCUAUCUUUUGCUCAUCAAGCCUCCCAAAUUGCCAUGAACCUCUAACCUUUGACACUAUUCCUAGCAAACCAUUGCUUGGCUAUGUUACCGCUUUGCUCAGCCCCUCUUAUAGCGUUGUUAGUUACAGGUGAAGUUGAAGAUUGCUCCAUGAUGGACAGGAUUAUGUUGGGAUAUCACAAUAUAUCUUAUAUUAUUAAUGCAUCUAUAUACUUGGUAAAGGGUGGAAGGCUCGACCUUAUGCCUGGUGUUUUGUUCCACUCUUGCCGCCCUAGUUUCCAUCAUACCGGUGUUAUGUUCCCGGAUUUUGCGUUCCUUACGCGGUCGGGUGAUUUAUGGGACCCCCUUGACAGUUCGCUUUGAAUAAAACUCCUCCAGGAAGGCCCAACAUUGGUUUUACCAUUUGCCUCACGACCACCUACUUUUCCCUUGGGAGUAAUUAAGCCAAGGGUCAUCUUUAUUACAGCCCCCCUGGGCCAAUGCUUGUCUAAGUGUUGGUCCAAACUAGAGCACCGCGCGGGACCAUCCCUUGGCAACUUGGGUUACGUCGGUACCUGUACGCUUAGCUUAUCCGGUGUUGCCCUGAGAACGAGAUAUGUGCAGCUCCUAUCGGGAUUGUCGGCGCAUCGGGCGGUCUUUGCUGGUCUUAUUUUACCAUUGUCGAAAUGUCUUGUAAACCGGGAUUCCGAGUCUGAUCGGGUCUUUUUUGGGAGAAGGUAUAUCCUUCAUUGAUCGCGAGAGCUUAUCAUGGGCUAAGUUGGGACACCCCCGCAGGGUAUAAUCUUUCGAAAGUCGUGCCUGCGGUUAUAGGAAGAUGGGAAUUUGUUAAUGUCUGGUUGUAGAUAACUUGACACCAGAUCCGAAUUAAAACGCAUCAACCAUGUGUGUAGCCAUGAUGGUCUCUUUUCGACGGAGUCCGGGAAGUGAACACGGUUUCUGGGUUAUGUUUGACGUAAGUAGGAGUUCAGGAUCACUUCUUGAUCAUUGCUAGCUUCACGACCGUUCCAUUUGCUCUCUUCUCGCUCUUAUUUGCAUAUGUUAGCCACCAUAUCAUGCUUAGUCGCUGCUGUAGCCUCACCACUUUACCCCUUCCUUUCCCUUUAAGCUUUGCUAGUCUUGAUACCCAUGGUAAUGGGAUUGUUGAGUCCUCGUGGCUCACAGAUUACUACAACAACAGUUGCUGGUACAGGUUAUGCGAUGAUCAUGACGCGAGAGCGAUGCUUGCUUGUUUGGAGUUCUUCUUCUGCUUCUUCUUCGAUCAGGGGAUAGGUUCCAGGUCGGCAGUCUGGGCUAGCAGGGUGGAUGUCGUUUGAGUUUAUGUUUGUGUUUCAUCUGUAGUCGGAUGUUGAUCUUAUGUAUGAUGUAUUGAUGUAUUCUUGUGGCAUUGUAUGCCCCUUGUAUGUAUCCCCAUCUAUUAUGUAAUGUUGAUGUAAUGAUAUCCACCUUGCAAAAGCGUCUUCAAGAUGCGCUUCUAUCCUUGGUGGGACCUUCGAGUUCCUUUAGGAUAGGGUCGCAUCUUGGGCAUGACAAGUUGUAACAGAGCCUCGACCGACCUUAGGAGCCCCCUUGAUUGAUCGUGUAGUUUGGCCGUUGUUGAGUCUAGAAAAAAAAACUGUUUUUCGGAGUCUAGUUAUAUCGGAGAGUAGGAAUUGUUUUUACUCCUCAGCCCCUUCGUCGCUCUGGUGAGAAAUCUUGACGUAGGUGUUUUGAAUUACUCCUCUUCCCCUUCAAAUUUUUCUUUAGGAUCACGCAGUUGGUUUUUCGGUAGUUGUUCCUCAGCUCUUUUCAUCCGGUGCAUUUCUCGUCAAGUCGACUCGAGCGUCUUCAUCUUUGAGUUCAAUCCUCAGUUGUUUUCUUUUCCCACCCACCCACCCCUCUUCUUUUCGGAACCGGAGUCCGUAAUCGAGUAUCCAUCCUACUCGUGUGAAGCCUUUGCUUUCUUUCAACCGGUGUUUUCUCUUCAAGUUAUUCAUCGGUUCCCCUUCCAAGUUGUCUUUGUUUUCCCGCCCUCCCAUCCUCUUCUUCCCGGAGUCUGACUCUCUCUCGACCAUCUAUCUCAUUCGUGCGGAACCUCUUCAGUUUUUUGUAAAUUAUCUCAACCGGUGAAUUCUCGUCUCGGUGGACAUUCUUCGUCUCUUUUCUUUCCGGUGGAUCUGAAUUCAAGUUUUUCGUUGUCGAUCGUAUUCUUUCCUUCAUCUCAAGUGUUUUUCCCUGCUCGUUUGCCUCUCGCCAGUUUAUCCUUCCGGAGUGCUCAAGACAUCUCAGGAGAUUCGUCUGUGUUUGAACUAAUUUGAGGUUUUCACCUCAUUCAAAUAUUUCAAUUGUUCCGGUGCAUCAUCUAUCUGUUCAACAUCCCUUUCAAACGGUGUUUUCUGUUAGUGGGCCCUAACCCACAGGUCUUUUUCCAGGAUCUUACCUGACUCUUCUAAUUUCCCCCGGGGUUAUUCCCAAAUUCUUUUCAAGUGUGACGUAAGAAUGAAUUUCAUCAGUUAGAUGCUUUUCCAAGAUCGAUUUCAAAUCAUUUUCAUUGUUGGCUCAACCUCUUCGCUUUCCAUUCUACCGGAGUAUCUCAGUAUUUUGAAGACCGAAGAAGAGUUUUUCCUGUAAAUCUUGUAUGUUCUCUUGAAGUUUCGUGGUUCUAGCUUCAUGUUAUCAGUCUCGAAUUAUUCCAUUUGCCAGAUAUUCUUUCUUACCCAUCCGGAGUAUGUCAGGAGUUGUUUUUCCAUUUCUUCUCACCGGAGGCCAUCAUUCUAGCUAUCAUUCUCUAUUAUCCCGGUGCUUCGUUCAAGUAUUCUUUAUCAGCUCGUUGUCUCUUUGUUCUUUUGCAUCUAAAUCCCCUCAAGCAUAUUUGUUCUUCUAAGUCUUCCCAGUGAUUCAUUCUCUUUCGUUAGUCAUUUCCGAAUUCUUACGGUGGUUCGUUCAAGAUUCUUUUUCUUUGAUUAUCAUAUUAAUCCAUUCGUUCUUUCGAAUCCAACCGGUGGUUCAUGAAGACCUUCUCAAGUUUGCGAUAUGUCACUUCUCAAUCCUUUUUCAAGAAGAAUAAGUAGUAUGAAAAAUCCAUUGUUUGUCAUCAAUUUAAUUUGAUGAAGGAUAAGCAUACAAUAAAUCUUAUUCUUAUUUCCUCAAAGCGAGUAAUCCCUUUCCUUCGGAGUUUGUUCGUGAGGAAUAAAUUCUAAUUCCAAGUGCUUUCAUCUUUUCUUUUCCGGAGUUCAAAUUACUAGUCCAUCUCAUCGGAACCUCCAUCUAAAUCAUCGCAAGGCUCAUCUUAUUCUUUCUUCCUUCAUUCUAUCUCAUCAUCCUUUUUGUUACCGGAGUUCUUCACGGUGGUUCUUCAUGAUUUAAUUCAUUCGUCAAGAGUUCAUCAAGAUUUCGUUGGUGGAGCUCAAGUAUCUUUUCUUCUCGCGUCUUGAAGAGCAAAUAAUUCUUCAUUUUCUUCUGAAGUGAAGUUUUGCAUUUCUUCGUCAUUCUCAGCUAUUUAAUCUUUUCCACUUGUGGUCGGCGAUCAGCUCAUAAUUUUGAGAUGUUUUCCAUAAGUCCACAACAAGCUUAUUCUUUUUGUUGUUGAAUUUUCUCAACAACUCCAUUCAAUCUUUUCUUCUAAGGUUGCUUUCUAUUUCAUUCGUGGCACAAGUUGACAUUUUCUUCUCCGUUCUUUUCAUUCAACUCUUUUAAUUCUUUCCAGAGGUUUUGGUGUCAUGUUUUCAUCAAGUAUCAUUCCAUCCCCUCAAGGUCAUGUUCUUUUCCUUCCAUUUUUAGCCGGAGUGCUGCCUAAAUCGUUUCAGUCUUAUUCCUUUUCUUAUCUUAUUCUAACCAGAGUGGUUUCAUAGUCUAUCUGAUUCUGUGAGCUUUCGAUUCUCGUCAUUCUCGUCGUUCCUCUCUUAUUCUUGAGUGCUCUCGAUUCUUUGCUUCUUCUCUUCAGUUCUUGCAUCACCCCUUUUUCCCUUCCGUCUCGGUCAUAAGAUCUCGGGACGAGAUCUCUUGUUAGUGGAGGAGUGUUGUAACGCCUCGGAUUCGAUGCGCCAGGUGUCUGCCAGUUAUUCGCCGUAGUUUCCAUGUCAUUUGCUUGUGUGUUUCAUAUUGUCAUGUCAUCAUGUGCAUUUCAUUUUGCAUACGUGUUUGUUUCAUGCAUCCGAGCUUUUUCCCCGUUGUCCGUUUUGCAAUCCGGCACUCCUAUGCCCUCCGGCGUUCCCCUUUUGUCUCUCAUUGUGAGAGGGUGUUAGACUUUCUCGUAAUGGACUGAGUCUUGCCAAGCGACCUUGGUAUAGCACCGGUAGACCGCCUGUCAAGUUUCGUGCCAUUUGGAGGUCGUUUGAUACUCCAACGGUUAUCCACGUAGCCCGAAACCCCCCUUUCUCCUUGCAGCCCAACACCCCUCCAAAGUGGCCCAAAACCCAGCAAACUCCCCUCCAUGCUCUCGGUCAUUGGAUCAUGACCGCAUGGCCGAAAACCGCUCCUCAUUUGGGCUCUCCUAGCUCCCAGAAUCUAUAUAUAUGUGCCUCCCGUCCAAAUUCGCGGAUGUUUUUCCCUCGAAACCGUAAAAAUUCCCCUCUCUGCGCCGGACGUGUCUGUCCGCGCCGGACAAAGCCCGCGCCGCCGCCUCCACACCAACCGGCGUCCGCCACAUGGCAGCCGCCGCCGCCCCGCCUCCGCCGGCCCGCGAGGCCCGCGCCAAGCCCACGGGGCUCGGAUCUGCUCCGCCGCCGCCCGGGGUCGCCCCGCCNNNNNNNNNNNNNNNNNNNNNNNNNNNNNNNNNNNNNNNNNNNNNNNNNNNNNNNNNNNNNNNNNNNNNNNNNNNNNNNNNNNNNNNNNNNNNNNNNNNNNNNNNNNNNNNNNNNNNNNNNNNNNNNNNNNNNNNNNNNNNNNNNNNNNNNNNNNNNNNNNNNNNNNNNNNNNNNNNNNNNNNNNNNNNNNNNNNNNNNNNNNNNNNNNNNNNNNNNNNNNNNNNNNNNNNNNNNNNNNNNNNNNNNNNNNNNNNNNNNNNNNNNNNNGCCCGGGGCAGGGCCUCCUUGCCGCACCUUGCCUCGACCCUGCGCCCGGCCCUGCCGCCCCUCGCCGCCCCGCGCCCCGCUGGCGGCUCCGACCCUCCUCGCCGACCGUCUCUAGAGCCCCUUCUCCGCCCCUAGCCCGAGCUCGAGGAUGACCCUGUGGGGCCCGCUCGUCAGCCUCCCAUGCCGGACGUGUCCGGUUUGGCCCGGACAUGUCCACCCCCUGCGAGGUCGUUUUCCACUAAGUCCCCGAAGUAUAUCUAUGACAUUAUCAUGCCAUGUUCAUCGCAUCAUAUCUCUGCAUCCGUAGCUCCAUUUUGAGCGUGUAAUAUGUCAGAUUGUUCGUCUCAAUGAGUACUUCAUUUCAUUCCAUUGCGUCAUGUUUAUUUGAGCUCAUCUUGAUGCCUGAAUCUUUGUUGCAAGAGUGCUUCAUAAUGUUGUCUGUUGUCUAUUAACAGAACUAGCUCUUUUGUCAUUUUUGCCAUGAUUGAUGUGUGCAUCCUAUGAGGUUGAUGGCUACAUGUGUUUUGAUCUAUGCUAUGUCUUCUUUACAGAGGUGCUUACCAUGUAUUUUUGUGAUCAAUGUGGUGACUAGCACAAGCAUGCAAACUAGGCCUCAUGAUGUUGCUGAUUUUAGUCCCUGUUCUGCUGUUAUUUUGAUGCCAUGUAAACUUGAUGCUACAGAGAGAUCCAUGCUUAUUUUGAGAUACUUCAGUAAGGGUGUUUCGAACAUAUGGUUUUUAUCUAUCCAUUCAUGCCCCUGUUUAAAAUUAUGGAGUAGUCUAGCAUGUCAUUUUCGUGCUCUACUUUUGCUACAAAAUGUUUCUUGGCAGAUUGUUUACAUGUUAUUCAAUUUUGCCAAGGUUGUUGUAGUUGAUCCUUGCAUGCCAUGAACUUGUUCUUGACUUGGUUUGUUUCAUAAACAUGUCUUCUUGAUGAUGCUAUGCUUAUCUUGUCAUGCAAUGACUUGUGGUGAGUGAAUCGAGCUUGUUAAGUAGUGUAUUUGCUGUUGCUGUUUUGCUAGGCUGAAUCUGUUAUUUCGUGAUGCUAUGUAAACCUGCUGCUACAAGUCAUUCUAUGCAUAAUCUGGAGGUGUUCACUAAGGGUGUUUUGUUACAAAUGUUAUGCUCUAUCCAUACAUGUCCCUGUUUGCAAUUAUAGCUUGCUGUAGUUUGUUGUAAUCUUGCUCUAAAGUUGCUAUAUAAUGUUGCUGUCAGCCUCUUAACUUUAAGUUCAGUCGUUGCCAUGCUUGUUGUUAGUGAUACAUGUACCCUAUGACCUUGCUAUUGACAUGCUUAGCUUCAUAAAUAUGUCUUAUUACUGUUGGUAGCCUUGCCAUGCCAUGUAUUGCUCUGUGGUGAGUGGUACAAGCUCACAAACAUGCCUUCAUAAUUCUGUUUCUGUCAUGUUUGAAUCUGUAAUAUAACUUGCUAUGUGUACAUGGGUGCCAUCAUAUUUUCUGUUCCUUUUUGGCUCAUGGUCAGUAAGGGACUUUUGUUCUAUGCAUUUAGUAGUACCAUGCCAUGCUUUUGUUUGCCAUGAUAAGUUCCUGUAACAUGUUGUUUUGAUAGCUCUAAACAUUGCAACCUGAUGUUAUUUUCUGCAAAGUCUGAACUGUUAUUAUUUGCGAUCUUGCCAUAUGUGUUUGAGCAUGUUCUAGUGAUUUCUGGAGAUAGCUCAGUGUUCAUGUUUUGUCAUGCUUUACCUGUACAUCAUGACCAUGUCUUUUUUUUCAUGUUGGGAUACUGUAGCAUAUUGUUUUGAUGCUUGCAAUAUGCCUAGUUGCUGUUUUGAACAGAUUGUUGCUAUAACUUUUAUAGUGUGUGUGUUGAACCGUUGCUCCGUUUUGAGUGUGCUGUAUAUGAAACUUGCUUGUUUUUGCAUGCAGUUCCAUAUUAUCAUGUUGCAUCCAUGUUUUUGAAGUGUUUGCUUUAUGUUUAUAUGCAUUUUAGAUCAAUGCCAUGUUUAACUUGUUUUGCUCAUAUCUUCUAGGCCGUAGCCCAGAACUAAAUGAACUUUAGAUGUAACUUGACUAGAAUUUCGUGUAGAUCAUCUUUGUGCAUCUUAACUUGCUGUUUAACAACUUGAACAUAAUGUUUAUUCAGAUCUGGACCAAUUUCGAAAUAUGCAUAUGAGGACUUACCGGAAUUGUUAUAUGUUGUUCCCGGCCUCAUUUAAACUUGCCUUAGUGUGUUGCUCUUGUUUUUAUCAUCUCUUGCCAUGAGUAGCUUCAUGUAGCUUUGCCAUGCAUAAUGCUUGUUUGUGCAUCAUGUCUUGUUCAUGUGUGGUGUGUUUACCAUGUUGUGUGCUUCUUCUCGAUAGUUCCCCUUUUUGUUGCGAUCGUGAGGAUUCGUUCAUCUACGCUUGGUUCGGCUUCAUCCGUUCGUCUUCUUCAUGGACUCGUUCUUCUUCCUAGCGGGAUUUCAGGCAAGAUGACCGCUACCCUGGAUCUCACUACUAUCAUUGCUAUGCUAGUUGAUUCGUUCUAUCGCUAUGCUGCGUUACCUAUCUUUUGCUCAUCAAGCCUCCCAAAUUGCCAUGAACCUCUAACCUUUGACACUAUUCCUAGCAAACCAUUGCUUGACUAUGUUACCGCUUUGCUCAACCCCUCUUAUAGCGUUGUUAGUUGCAGGUGAAGUUGAAGAUUGCUCCAUGAUGGACAAGAUUAUGUUGGGAUAUCACAAUAUCUCUUAUAUUAUUAAUGCAUCUAUAUACUUGGUAAAGGGUGGAAGGCUCGGCCUUAUGCCUGGUGUUUUGUUCCACUCUUGCCGCCCUAGUUUCCGUCAUACCGGUGUUAUGUUCCCGGAUUUUGCGUUCCUUACGCGGUCGGGUGAUUUAUGGGACCCCCUCGAUAGUUCGCUUUGAAUAAAACUCCUCCAGCAAGGCCCAACAUUGGUUUUACCAUUUGCCUCACCACCACCUACUUUUCCCUUGGGAGUAAUUAACCCAAGGGUCAUCUUUAUUACAGCCCCCCCGGGCCAAUGCUUGUCUAAGUGUUGGUCCAAACUAGAGCAUCGUGCAGGACCAUCCCUUGGCAACUUGGGUUACGUCGGUUCCUGUACGCUUAGCUUAUCCGGUGUUGCCCUAAGAACGAGAUAUGUGCAGCUCCUAUCGGGAUUGUCGGCGCAUCGGGCGGUCUUUGCUGGUCUUGUUUUACCAUUAUCGAAAUGUCUUGUAAACCGGGAUUCCAAGUCUGAUCGGGUCUUCCUGGGAGAAGGUAUAUCCUUCGUUGAUCGCGAGAGCUUAUCAUGGGCUAAGUUGGGACACCCCUGCACGACCGUUCCAUUUGCUCUCUUCUCGCUCUUAUUUGCGUAUGUUAGCCACCAUAUCAUGCUUAGUCGCUGCUGCAGCCUCACCACUUUACCCCUUCCUUUCCCUUUAAGCUUUGCUAGUCUUGAUACCCAUGGUAAUGGGAUUGCUGAGUCCUCGUGGCUCACAGAUUACUACAAUAACAGUUGCAGGUACAGGUUAUGCGAUGAUCAUGACGCGAGAGCGAUGCUUGUUGUUUGGAGUUCUACUUCUAUCAGGGGAUAGGUUCCAGGUCGGCAGCCUGGGCUAGCAGGGUGGAUGUCGUUUGAGUUUCUGUUUGUGUUUCAUCCGUAGUCGGAUGUUGAUCUUAUGUAUGAUGUAUUGAUGUAUUCUUGUGGCAUUGUAUGCCCCUUUAUGUAUCCCCAUCUAUUAUGUAAUGUUGAUGUAAUAAUAUCCACCAUGCAAAAGCGUCUUCAAGAUGCGCUUCUAUCCUUGGUGGGACCUUUGAGUUCCUUUAGGAUAGGGUCGAAUCUUGGGCGUGACACUGGAGGAGUUUUAUUCAAUGCGAACUGUCAAGGGGGUCCCAUAAAUCACCCAUCCGCGUAAGGAACGCAAAAUCCGGGAACAUAACACCGGUAUGACGGAAACUAGGGCGGCAAGAGUGGAACAAAACGCUAGGCAUAAGGCCGAGUCUUUCACCCUUUACCAAGUAUAUAGAUGCAUUAAUUAAAAUAAGAGAUAUUGUGAUAUCCCAACAUAAUCCUAUCCACCAUGGAGCAAUCUUCAACUUCCCUGCAACUAACAACGCUAUAAGAGGGCUGAGCAAAGCAGUAACAUAGCCAAGCAAUGGUUUGCUAGGAAGGGUGUCAAAGGUUAGAGGUUCAUGUCAAUUUGGGGAGGCUUGAACAUGUGAUAGGUAGCGCAGCAUAGCGAUAGAACGAAACAACUAGCAUAGCAAUGAUAUAGUGAGAUCCAGGGUAGCGGUCAUCUUGCCUGAAAUCCUGCAAGGAAGAAGAACGAGUCCAUGAAGAAGAUGAAGCCACGAAGAUGAACCAAGCAUAGACGAACGAAUCCUCACGAUCGCAACGAAAUGGGAACUAUCGAGAAGAAGCACACAACAUAGUAAACACACCACACAUGAACAAGGCAUGAUGCACAAACAAGUAUGAUGCAAGACAAGACUACAUGAAGCUACUCAUGGCAAGAGAUGAUGCAUACAAGAGCAACACAUCAAAACAAGUUUAAAUGAGGCCGGAAGCAACAUAUAACAAUUUCGGUAAGUCCUCAUAUGCAAAUUUCGAAAUUGGUCCAGAUCUUAAUAAACCUUAUGUUCAAGUUGUUAAACAGCAAGUUAAGAUGAACCAAGAUGAUCUACAUGAGAUUCUAGUCAAGUUACAUAUAAAGUUCAUUUAGUUCGGAGCUACGGCCUAGAAGAUAUGAGCAAAACAAGUUAAACAUGGCAUUGGUGCAACAUGCACCCAAACAUCAAGCAAACACUUCAAAACAUGGAUGCAACAUGAUAAUAUGAAACUAUAUGCAAAAUAAAGCAAGUUUCAUAUAGAGCACACUCAAAACGGAGCAACGGUUCAACACAUACACUCUAUACAAGUUAUAGCAACAAUCUGUCCAAAACAGCAACUAGGCAUAUUGCAAGCGUCAAAACAACAUGCUACAGGAUCUCAACAAGAAAACAAAAGGCAUGGGCAUGAUGUACAGGUAAAGCAUAACAAAACGUGAACACUGAGCUAUCUCCAGAAAUCACUAGAACAUGCUCCAAAACACAUGGCAAGAUAGCAAAUAAUAUCAGUUUCAGACUUUGCAGAAAAUAACAUCAGGUUGCAAUGUUUAGAGCUAUCAAACAAUAUGCUACAGGAACUUAUAAUGGCAAACAAAGGCAUGACAUGAAUCUACUAAAUGCAUAGAACAAAAGUCCCUUACUGACCAUGAGCCAAAAAGGACCAGAAGAUAUGAUGACACCCAUGUAAACAUAGCAAGUUAUAAUACACAUUCAUACAUGGCAGAAAAACCAUAAGUAGGCAUGUUGAUGAGCUUGUACCACUCACCACAGAGAAAUAAAUAGCAUGACAAGGCAACCAACAGUAAGAAUACAUGUUUAUGAAGCUAAGCAUGACAAGAGCAAGUUCAUAGGGUGCAUGGAACACUAACAACAAUCAUGGCAACAACUGAACUUAAUGUUAACAAGCUGACAACAACAUUAUUUAGCAACUUUGGAGCAAGAUUACAACAAGCUACAGCGGGCUAUAAAUGCAACCAGGGGCAUGGAUGGAUGGAGCAUGACAUGUAUAACAAAACACCCUUAGUGAACAUCUCCAGAUUAUGCACAGAAUGACUUGUAGCAGCAGGUUUACAUGGCAUCAUGAAAUAACAGAUUCAGCCUAGCAAAACAGCAACAGCAAGUACCCUACUUAACAAGCUUGAUUCACUCACUACAAGUCAUUGCAUGACAAGAUAAGUAUAGCAUCAGCAAGAAGACAUGUUUAUGAAACAAACCAAGGCAAGAACAAGUUCAUAGCAUGCAAGGAUCAACUACAACAACCUUGGCAAAAUUGAAUAACAUGUAAACAAUCUGCCUGGAAACAUUUUGUAGGAAAAGUAGAGCACGAAAAUGACAUGCUAGACUACUCCAUAAUUGCAAACAGGGGCAUGAAUGGAUAGAGGAAAACCAUAUGUUCAAAACAUCCUUAAUGAAGUAUCUCAAAAUAAGCAUGGAUCUCUCUGUAGCAUCAUGUUUAUAUGGCAUCAAAAUAAUAGCAGAACAGGGACUAAAAUCAGCAACAUCACGAAGCCUAGUUUACAUGCUUGUGCUAGCCACCACAUUGAUCAUAAAAAUACAUGGUAAGCACCUCUGUAAAGAAGACAUGGCAUAGUUCAAAACACAUGUAGACAACAACCUCAUAGGAUGCACACAUCAAUCAUGGCAAAAAUGACAAAUGAGCAAGUUCUGUUAAGAAACAGGAACUAACAUUAUGAAGCACACUUGCAACGAUGAUUCAAGCAUCAAGGUGAGCUCAAAUGAAUAUGAUGCAAUGGAACAAAAUGAAGUACUCGUUGAGGCGAACAAUUUGAUAUGUUACACGCAUGAAACGGAGGUACGGAUGUAGAGAUACGAUGCGAUGAACAUGGCAUGAUAAUGUCAAAAUAUUUCGAGACUUAGCAGAAUUUAUACCCUCGCGGAGAAACGUGACGGAGGCGAUCCGGGAUGGAGAGAUCCGGGAUGGGGAGGCCGUUUGGAUCGGCGGGCUGGUGGAUCUGGUCCAGCCCGGCCAGAUCCGGGACGAGGCGACGGCGGGCUCUCCGGCGAGGGCUGCGCGGCGGCGGUACAUCGGGCGGCGGGGGCGACGGGCGGCNNNNNNNNNNNNNNNNNNNNNNNNNNNNNNNNNNNNNNNNNNNNNNNNNNNNNNNNNNNNNNNNNNNNNNNNNNNNNNNNNNNNNNNNNNNNNNNNNNNNNNNNNNNNNNNNNNNNNNNNNNNNNNNNNNNNNNNNNNNNNNNNNNNNNNNNNNNNNNNNNNNNNNNNNNNNNNNNNNNNNNNNNNNNNNNNNNNNNNNNNNNNNNNNNNNNNNNNNNNNNNNNNNNNNNNNNNNNNNNNNNNNNNNNNNNNNNNNNNNNNNNNNNNNNNNNNNNNNNNNNNNNNNNNNNNNNNNNNNNNNNNNNNNNNNNNNNNNNNNNNNNNNNNNNNNNNNNNNNNNNNNNNNNNNNNNNNNNNNNNNNNNNNNNNNNNGGCGCUCGGGCGCGGGCCGGGGAGGCAGACGACGGCGGGAGCGCGGGCUCGCGCGGGCCCUCCCUGGGCUCCACGGGCCGUCGCUGCGGAGGACGGCGGCGCGCCACAUGGCAUCUCCGGAUUGGCGUGGGGACGAGGGCGGACGUGUUCUGUGGUGCCGGGGAGGAUUAGGCUAGGGUUUGGACUGCGCGAAAAUUCGGGGAGGGGCACAUAUAUAUAGAUUCUGGGAGUUAGGAGAGUCCAAAUGAGGAGCGGUUUUCGGCCACGCGAUCGUGAUCGAACGGCCGAGAGCAUGGAGAGGAGUUUUCUGGGUUUUGGGCCACUUUGAAGGGGUGUUGGGCUGCAACACACACGAGGCCUUUUCGGUCCCUCGGUUAACCAUUGGAGUAUCAAACAAACUCCAAAUGGCACGAAACUUGACAGGCGGUCUACCGGUGCUAUACCAAGGCCGCUUGGCAAACCUCAGGCCAUUCCGAGAAAGUUUAACACCCGCACACAAAAACAAGGUCUGAGAGGGGCGACGUUCUCGCGCGAGAGGUCCGGACUCCGAACGGACAACGGAGAGAACCGGGAGAACCCGAACGAAUGCAAGUUUUGGAAAACAUGCAGAUGAUAUGCAGAUGAUGACAUGGAAAAAUGCAACACCCAAGCAAAUGACAUGGCAACGAUAGCGAAUAACUGGAAGACACCUGGCGCAACGAAUCCAGGGCGUUACAACACUCCUCCACUAACAAGAGAUCUCGUCCCGAGAUCUUAGGACCGAGACGGAAUGGAAAAGAGAUGAGGUGAAAACAGCACUCAAGAGAAGAAGCAAAGAAUCGAGAGCACUCGAGAAGAAGAGAGGAACAAUGAGAAUGACGAGAAUUGAAAGCUCACGGAAUCAUGUAGACUAUGAAAGCACUCCGGUUAGAAUGAGGUAAGAAACGACUAAGACUGAAAGGAUUUAGGCAGCACUCCGACUGAAAAAUGGAAGGAUAGAACAAGAACUUCACAAGAUGGGAUGACACUUGAUGAAGACAUGUCACAAAAUCUCCGGAAAGAAUUGAAAGAGAAUUGAAUGAAAAGAAUUUAGAAGGAUUGAAUGGAGUUGUUGAGAAAAUCAACAACGAAAGAAUAAGCUUGUUGUGGACUUAUCAAAAACAACUCAAAACUUGAGGUGAAAUUAUACCACAACCAAUUUCUGAAUAGCUGAGAAGAACGAAGAAAUGCAAAACUCCACUUCAAAAGAAUACGGAGACUUAAUUGCACUUCGAAAGCAAGAAGGAAAGAUACUUGAGCUCCUCGAACAAGAAUCUUGAUGAACUCUUGAAGAAAGAAUUAAAUCAUGAAGAACCACCAUGAAGAACUCUGGUAACAAAAGGAUGAUGAGAUAGAAUGAAGGAUGAAAGAAUAAGAUUAAGCCUUCUGAUGAUUUAGAUGGAGAUUCCAACGGAAUGGUCGAGGAAAUUUUGAACUCCGGGAAAGAAAAGAUGAAAACACUUGGAACUAGAAUUUAUUCAUCAAGAACAAACUCCGAAGGAAGGGAUUAAUCACUCUGAUGAAAUAAGAAUAAGAUUUAUUGUAUGCUUAUCCUUCAUCAAAUUAAAUUGAUGACAAGCAAUGAAUUUUGCAUACUACUUAUUCUUCUUGAAAAAGAAUUGAGAAGUGACAUAUCGCAAACUUGAGAAGGUCUUCCUGAGCCACCGGUAGGAUUCGAAAGAACGAAUGGAUUAAUAUGAUAAUCAAAGAAAAAGAAUCUUGAACGAACCACCGUAAGAAUUCGAAAAUGACUGAUGAAAGAGAAUGCAUCGCCGGGAAGAAUUAGAAGAACAAAUAUACGCAAGGGGAUUUAGAUGCACAAGAGCGAAGAGAUAACGAGCUAAUUCAAGAACACUUGAACGAAGCACCGGGAUAAUUGGAUAACGGUAGCUGAAAUGAUGGCCUCCGGUGAAACGAAAAAGAAAUCAACUCCUGAAAUACUCCGGAUGGGUGAGAAAAGGAAUAUCUGACAAAUGGAAUAAAUCGAGAGGAUAACAUGAAGCUAGACCCAUGAAUCUUCGGAAGAACGGGAAAGAUUUAGAGGAAAAACUCUUCUUCGGUCUUCAAAUGUCGACGAGAAACACCACCAAAAUUACUGAGAUACCCGGUACAAUGAAAAGUGAAGAGGUUGAGUCAACAAUGAAAGCAUUUGAAAACAAUCUUGGAGAAGGCAUGUGACUGAUGAAAUCCAUUCUUACGCCACACUUUGAAAAGAAUAGAAUAACUCCGGGGGAAUUAGAAGAGUCUGGUAAGAUCCUGGAAAAAGACCCGUGGGUUAGGGCCCACUGUAGAGAAAAACACCGUUGAAAAGGAUUGUUGAAGAGAUAGAUGAUGCACCGGAAUAAUUAAAAUAUUUGAAUGAGGUGACAACCUUGAAUUAAUUGGAACACAGACGAAUCUCCUGAGAUGUCUUGAAUACUCCGGAAGGAUAAACUGGCGAGAGGCGAACGAGCAGGGAAAACACUUAAGCCGAGGGAAAGAAUGUAAUCAAUCCGAAAACUUGAAUUGCGUCCACCGGAGAAGAAAAGAGAUGGAGAAUGACGAACGAGAGGAGAAUUCACCGGUUGAAAUAAUUUACGAAAGACUGAAGAGGUUCCGAACGAAUGAGAUAGAUGGUCGAGAGAGAAUCAGACUCCGGGAAGAAAAGGGUGGGAGGGCGGGAAAAAUGAAGGCAACUUGGAAGGGGAAAUCGACGAAUAUCUUGAAGAGAAAAACACCGGUUGAAAUCAUUGAGGAGAGAGAGCAAAAACUUCGCACGAGUAGGAUGGAUACUCGAUUACGGACUCUGGUUUCAAGAAGAAGAAGGGUGGGCGGGUGGGAAAAGAAAACAACUGAGGAUGGGGAAACAACUUUGUUGAGAGCGAACUGAGGAUUGAACUUGGCAAAGACGAAGAGGCUCGAGUCAACUUGACGAGAAAUGCACCGGAUGAAAGAGCUGAGAACCUACGAUCGGAAAAACCAACUGCGUGAUCCUAAAGAAAAUUUGAAAGGGAAGAGGAGUAAAUCAAAAACACCUACGUCAAGAUUCCUGACCAGAGCGACGAAGGGGCUGAGGAGUAAAAAGAAUUCCAACUCUCCGAUAUAACUAGACUCCGAAAACAGUUUUUUUCUAGACUCAACAAUGGCCAAACUACACGAUCAAUCAAGGGGGCUCCUAGGGUCGGUCGAGGCUCUGAUACCAACUUGUCACGCCCAAUAUGCGACCCUAUCCAAAAGGAACUCGAAGGUCCCACCAAGGAUAGACCCGCAUAUUGAAACGCUUUUGCAAGGUGGAUAUCAUUACAUCAACAUUACAUAAUAGAUGGGGAUACAUACAUAAGGCAUACAAUGCCACACGAAUACAACAUCAUCUUACAGAAGAGCACCAUCCGACUAUGGAUGAAACACAAACAGAAACUCAACGACAUCCACCCUGCUAGCCCAGGCUGCCAACCUGGAACCUAUCCCUGAUCGAAGAAGAAGCAGAAGAAGUACUCCAAAACAAGCAAACAUCACUCUCGCGUCAUGAUCAUCGCAAAACCUGUACUUGCAACUGUUGUUGUAGUAAUCUGUGAGCCACGAGGACUCAGCAAUCCCAUUGCCAUGGGUAUCAAGACUAGCAAAGCUUAAUGGAAAAGAAAGGGGGGUACAGUGGUGAGGCUGCAGCAGCGACUAAGCAUGAUAUGGUGGCUAACAUACGCAAAUAAGAGCGAGAAGAGAGCAAAUGGAACGGUCGUGAAGCUAGCAAUGAUCAAGAAGUGAUCCUGAACUCCUACUUACGUCAAACAUAACCCAGAAACCGUGUCCACUUCCUGGACUCCGCCGAAAAGAGACCAUCACGGCUACACACGCGGUUGAUGCGUUUUAAUCGGAUCUGGUGUCAAGUUAUCUACAACCGGACAUUAACAAAUUCCCAUCUGCCUAUAACCGCAGGCACGGCUUUCAAAAGAUUAUACCCUGCAGGGGUGUCCCAACUUAGCCCAUGAUAAGCUGUCGCGAUCAACGAAGGAUAUACCUUCUCCCAGGAAGACCCGGUCAGACUUGGAAUCCCGGUUUACAAGACAUUUCGACAAUGGUAAAACAAGACCAGCAAAGCCUCCCGCUGUGCCGACAAAUCCCGAUAGGAGCUGCACAUAUCUCGUUCUCAGGGCACACCGGAUGAGCCAGACGUCGGGUUGGCAUAGACCCUGGUUGCCCAGGGGGCGCCGGACAUCGCUCGGUUUGGACCAACACUUAGACAAGCACUGGCCCGGGGGGGCUAUAAUAAAGAUGACCCUCGGGUUAAUUACUCCCAAGGGAAAUGUAGGUGGUGGUGAGGCAAAUGGUAAAACCAAUGUUAGGCCUUGCUGGAGGAGUUUUAUUUAAAGCGAACUGUCAAGGGGGUCCCAUAAAUCACCCAACCGCGUAAGGAACGCAAAAUCCGGGAACAUAACACCGGUAUGACGGAAACUAGGGCGGCAAGAGUGGAACAAAACACCAGGCAUAAGGCCGAGUCUUUCACCCUUUACCAAGUAUAUAGAUGCAUUAAUUAAAAUAAGAGAUAUUGUGAUAUCCCAACAUAAUCCUGUCCACCAUGGAGCAAUCUUCAACUUCACCUGCAACUAACAACGCUAUAAGAGGGCUGAGCAAAGCGGUAACAUAGCCAAGCAAUGGUUUGCUACGAAGGGUGUCAAAGGUUAGAGGUUCAUGGCAAUUUGGGGAGGCUUGAAGAACAGGUGAUAGGUAGCGCAGCAUAGCGAUAGAACGAAACAACUAGCAUAGCAAUGAUAGUAGUGAGAUCCAGGGUAGCGGUCAUCUUGCCUGAAAUCCCGCAAGGAAGAAGAACGAGUCCAUGAAGAAGAUGAAGCCACAAAGACGAACCAAGCGUAGACGAACGAAUCCUCACGAUCACAACGAAACGGGAACUAUCGAGAAGAAGCAAGCAACAUAGUAACACACCACACAUGAACAAGGCAUGAUGCACAAACAAGUAUGAUGCAAGACAAGACUACAUGAAGCUACUCAUGGCAAGAUAUGAUGCAUACAAGAGCAACACAUCAAAGCAAGUUUAAAUGAGGCCGGAAGCAACAUAUAACAAUUCCGGUAAGUCCUCAUAUGCAAAUUUCGAAAUUGGUCCAGAUCUGAAUAAACCUUAUGUUCAAGUUGUUAAACAGCAAGUUAAGAUGAACCAAGAUGAUCUACAUGAGAUUCUAGUCAAUUUACAUAUAAAGUUCAUUUAGUUCGGAGCUACGGCCUAGAAGAUAUGAGCAAAACAAGUUAAACAUGGCAUUGGUGCAAAAUGCACCCAAACAUCAAGCAAACACCUCAAAUCAUGGAUGCAACAUGAUAAUAUGAAACUAUAUGCAAAAUCAAGCAAGUUUCAUAUAGAGCACACUCAAAACGGAGCAACGGUUCAACACAUACACUCUACAAGUUAUAGCAACAAUCUGUCCAAAACAGCAACUAGGCAUAUUGCAAGCGUCAAAACAACAUGCUACAGGACCUCAACAAGAAAACAAGAGGCAUGGGCAUUAUGUACAGAUAAAGCAUAACAAAACGUGAACACUGAGCUAUCUCCAGAAAUCACUAGAACAUGCUCCAAAACACAUGGCAAGAUAGCAAAUAAUAUCAGUUUCAGACUUUGCAGAAAAUAACAUCAGGUUGCAAUGUUUAGAGCUAUCAAACAACAUGCCACAGGAACUUAUAAUGGCAAACAAAGGCAUCGAAUGAAUCUACUAAAUGCAUAGAACAAAAGUCCCUUACCGACCAUGAGCCAAAAAGGACCAGAAGAUAUGAUGGCACCCAUGUAAACAUAGCAAGUUAUAAUACAGAUUCAUACAUGGCAGGAACAACAAUAAGUAGGCAUGUUGAUGAGCUUGUACCACUCACCACAGAGCAAUAAAUGGCAUGGCAAGGCAACCAACAGUAAGAAUACAUGUUUAUGAAGCUAAGCAUGGCAAGAGCAAGUUCAUAGGGUGCAUGGAACACUAACAACAAUCAUGGCAACAACUGAACUUAAUGUUAAGAGGCUGACAACAACAUUAUUUAGCAACUUUGGAGCAAGAUUACAACAAGCUACAACGGGCUAUAAAUGCAACCAGGGGCAUGAAUGGAUAGAGCUUGACAUGUAUAACAAAACACCCUUAGUAACAUCUCCAGAUUAUGCACAGAAUGACUUGUAGCAGCAGGUUUACAUGGCAUCACGAAAUAACAGAUUCAGCCUAGCAAAACAACAACAUCAAGUACCCUACUUAACAAGCUUGAUUCACUCACCACAAGUCAUUGCAUGACAAGAUAAGCAUAGCAUCAGCAAGAAGACAUGUUUAUGAAACAAACCAAGGCAAAAACAAGUUCAUAGCAUGCAAGGAUCAACUACAACAACCUUGGCAAAAUUGAGUAACAUGUAAACAAUCUGCCAGGAAACAUUUUGUAGCAAAAGUAGAGCACUAAAAUGACAUGCUAGACUACUCCAUAAUUGCAAACAGGGGCAUGAAUGGAUAGAGGAAAACAAUGUGUUCAAAACAUCCUUAAUGAAGUAUCUCAAAAUAAGCAUGGAUCUCUCUGUAGCAUCAUGAUUACAUGGCAUCAAAAUAAUAGCAGAACAGGGACUAAAAUCAGCAACAUCACGAAGCCUAGUUUACAUGCUUGUGCUAGUCACCACAUUGAUCACAAAAAUACAUGGUAAGCACCUCUGUAAAGAAGACAUGGCAUAAUUCAAAACACAUGUAGACAUCAACCUCAUAGGAUGCACACAUCAAUCAUGGCAAAAAUGACAAAUGAGCAAGUUCUGUUAAGAAACAGGAACUAACAUUAUGAAGCACUCUUGCAGCGAUUAUUCAGGCAUCAAGAUGAGCUCAAAUGAAUAUGAUGCAAUGGAACUAAAUGAAGUACUAGUUGAGACGAACAAUUUGAUAUAUUACACGCAUGAAACAGAGCUACGAAUGCAGAGAUACGAUGCGAUGAACAUGACAUGGUAAUGUCAAAAUAUUUCGGGACUUAGCAGAAUUUAUACCCUCACGGAGAAACGGGACGGAGGCGUUCCGGGACGGAGGGAUCUGUAUGGGGAGGCCGUUUGGAUCGGCGGGCUGGUGGAUCUAGUCCAGCCCGGCCAGAUCCGGGACGAGGCGACGNNNNNNNNNNNNNNNNNNNNNNNNNNNNNNNNNNNNNNNNNNNNNNNNNNNNNNNNNNNNNNNNNNNNNNNNNNNNNNNNNNNNNNNNNNNNNNNNNNNNNNNNNNNNNNNNNNNNNNNNNNNNNNNNNNNNNNNNNNNNNNNNNNNNNNNNNNNNNNNNNNNNNNNNNNNNNNNNNNNNNNNNNNNNNNNNNNNNNNNNNNNNNNNNNNNNNNNNNNNNNNNNNNNNNNNNNNNNNNNNNNNNNNNNNNNNNNNNNNNNNNNNNNNNNNNNNNNNNNNNNNNNNNNNNNNNNNNNNNNNNNNNNNNNNNNNNNNNNNNNNNNNNNNNNNNNNNNNNNNNNNNNNNNNNNNNNNNNNNNNNNNNNNNNNNNNNNNNNNNNNNNNNNNNNNNNNNNNNNNNNNNNNNNNNNNNNNNNNNNNNNNNNNNNNNNNNNNNNNNNNNNNNNNNNNNNNNNNNNNNNNNNNNNNNNNNNNNNNNNNNNNNNNNNNNNNNNNNNNNNNNNNNNNNNNNNNNNNNNNNGCGCGGGACCUCCCUGGGCUCCGCGGGCCGUGGCGGCGGAGGACGGCGGCGCGCCACGUGGCAUCUCCGGAUUGGCGCGGGGGCGAGGGCGGACGUGUCCGGUGGCGGCGGGGAGGAUUAGGCUAGGGUUUGGACUGCGCAAAAAUUCGGGGAGGGGCACAUAUAUAUAGAUUCUGGGAGCUGGGAGAAUCCAAAUGAGGAGCGGUUUUCGGCCACACGAUCGUGAUCGAACGACCGAGAGCAUGGAGGGGAGUUUGCUGGGUUUUGGGCCACUUUGAAAGGGUGUUGGGCUGCAACACACACAAGGCCUUUUCGGUCCCUCGGUUAACCGUUGGAGUAUCAAACGAACUCCAAAUGGCACGAAACUUGACAGGCGGUCUACCGGUGCUAUACCAAGGCCGAUUGGCAAACCUCGGGCCAUUCUGAGAAAGUUUAACACCCGCACACGAAAACAAGGUCUGAGAGGGGCGACGGUCUCGAGCGAGAGGUUCGGACUCCGAACGGACAACAGAGAGAACCGGGAGAACCCGAACGAAUGCAAGUUUUGGAAAACAUGCAGAUGAUAUGCAGAUGAUGACAUGGAAAAAUGCAACACCGAAGCAAAUGACAUGGCAACGACAGCGAAUAACUGGAAGACACCUGGCGCAACGAAUCCGGGGCGUUACAGGUAGCUAGAGGUAAAUAAGCUCAAGUCAAGAAGGAAGACCAAGAAGAGAAGCCCACCAAGGUGGAUGGAUG
rnacentral:lncRNA from 1 species